GUGGGGAAUUUUGGACAAUGGGCGCAAGCCUGAUCCAGCAAUGCCGCGUGCAGGAAGAAGGCCUUCGGGUUGUAAACUGCUUUUGUACGGAACGAAACGGUCCUGGCUAAUAUCCGGGGCUAAUGACGGUACCGUAAGAAUAAGCACCGGCUAACUACGUGCCAGCAGCCGCGGUAAUACGUAGGGUGCGAGCGUUAAUCGGAAUUACUGGGCGUAAAGCGUGCGCAGGCGGUGCUGUAAGACAGGCGUGAAAUCCCCGGGCUCAACCUGGGAAUUGCGCUUGGGACUGCAGUGCUGGAGUGCGGCAGAGGGGGAUGGAAUUCCGCGUGUAGCAGUGAAAUGCGUAGAUAUGCGGAGGAACACCGAUGGCGAAGGCAAUCCCCUGGGCCUGCACUGACGCUCAUGCACGAAAGCGUGGGGAGCAAACAGGAUUAGAUACCCGUGUAGUCC
rnacentral:rRNA from 1 species